CGCCCUAGCACCUUGUCCCAGGAAGUCUACAAGACAGUCUCCAUGCGCCUGAACAUCGUCAGCCCUGACCUGUCUGGUAAAGGCCUUGUCCUGCCCUCUGUACUGGGUAUCACCUUUGGUGCCUUCCUGAUUGGGGCCCUGCUCACAGCUGCACUCUGGUACAUCUAUUCUCACACACGUGAGUAUCCCAAGCCUCCACCCCAUUCCCACAGCAAGCGCUCAGGGCCCGUCCACACCACCCCGGGGCACACCCAGUGGAGCCUCUGAAGAAGCGGGGAGUCCUGGCUGGGGCCCUGACCUUCACCCACGCCCCUCAGGUGGCCCCAGCAAGCGGGAGCCCGUGGUGGCAGUGGCUGCCCCGGCCUCCUCUGAGAGCAGCAGUACCAACCACAGCAUCGGGAGCACCCAGAGCACCCCCUGCUCCACCAGCAGCAUGGCGUAGUGCCCAGCCUGGAGCCUCGGGGAGCCCCCCAGCCAGCCCUUGCCCUGCAGGAGAGACCGAGCAGCCACAAGCUGGAAACCACCGGCCAUGAACUUGUCCCAGGAACCAAACACCUCCCCUGCACCUGUUCAUUCCUCCCAGUGGAGACUUCAGAUUGGAAUACCUUGGGAUCUCCUCACCCCACUUUACAGAACUGCCCAAUCCAGGGGCUCUGGGAUAUGGCUGCCCGGGAUUACAGAAAGACACGGCACUGCCGUGCACACCCAUGCUGCU
rnacentral:lncRNA from 1 species